ACUAUUUUUUUGCUGUUGGAACGCUGAAGUUCGCUGCUGAAAUUCUUGUUGCUGAAAUGCUAAAAGUUUUGUUGCUGAUGUGCUUAUUUUUUGUUGCUGCGAAGGCUCGUUUUCCCUGCUAAUGGAGAUGCUUGAAGUCUGCUUUUUUUUUUUUUUUUUUUUUUUGGUCUAUGAUGAUUGUUAGAUUUGAUUCUUGGACUUGAAAUUGUAAAGAUCUGUGAACUUCAUUUGAUUUAACAUUAGUUAAUUUGACCUUCAUACUCCGAAUCAAGCCACAUAAAUUGAAAUAGAGGGAGUAUUUUGUUUCUUGUUUACUGUAUUGCUUCUGGAUUAAUCAUUCUCUUUCUUUAUGAAGUUCUGGUUACUUCCUUUGUUUAAUGGUCCAGCUUCAUUGCUGGUUCAUUUUAGGUAAAUUUAUUGAACGGUUGUGUCAUGAGUAGUUGUGUGAACUGUGAAGCCAAAAGAACAGACGGAGGCCAAUCCAGCUGUGCAUCUCCAUGGUUUUGAUAGGUAUGCCUCAUAUUAAGCUAAUGUUUUGACUACUUUCUCUUGCUGUGCUCUGUGUUUUUCAUUAUCCCUCAUUGUUCAGCUCAUGUUUAGAGUGGAGGUACACAUUUCCGAUGCUUGAGCAGGCUGGAUUAGAGACAUGGGCAGUUGAUAUCUCAGGAUGGGGUUUCGCUGAUUUAGCUUCCAAGCGUGAUCAUCUUUACCAGGUACCUCCUGAUUCCAAACUAAAUAUCCUGAUCUACUGCAUACAAGCUUGGAAGGUUGGAACUAGUCUCUUUCUUUGCACAUUCUAAUAAAUGUAAAGUUGCAUACCUAAGUUUAAAAGUAAGGUAAAAUUCACAUUAUUUUUUUCCUAGUAGUGUACUAUAUAAUACUUAGUUUGCCAGGGCACGUACACAGUUAUACACCAUUGUGCAGUGCUAGGAUAUCACAGUUAUGUAGCAUUAAAAAGGGCCACCCUUGCUUACUUGGUGAGCUCUACACUAUGAAAUUAUGGAAGUAGUAUUGGAUUGUUUGAUGUAACUGAACGUAUAUGUUAUAAUGUUUGUGGUUUAUUACUGAAAGGGUAAUUCUUUCAUCCUAUAAUCGAUAUGCAUACUUAUAAAAGAGAGAAAAAUCUUGAGUAUUGAUGAGUAAGAAAAUGGUAUUACCGAAUACCGUACCGAACCGAAAUUUGAUUUACCGAUUCCCGAAUUACCGAACCGAAGUUUGAAAGUUCGGUAUUUGGUAUAUACUUUCAAUUACCGAAUACCGAAUUACCGAACCCGAACUUUAAAAAUACCGAACCGAAUACCGAACGCCCAGACCU